GCCAGACUUCCAAUUUAUGGAGAUCAUCUGAUAUUUCUUCUGCAAGAUAUCCGGGGCCUUUCUACAAUUACCUACAACGCUCGGGUUUUUUCAGCUCAAAGAGCUUAUUGGCAGAGAAUAACACGGAGCCCGUCGCUUCUCCUUUGACACCCAUUUUAGGGGAUAGUGGGAAAGCUGAGAAAGCUCCAAUAUGUGUACGCUCACAAGUUCAAGCUAUUAAGAAGGGCAUAAGACAGAGUCCCA
rnacentral:misc_RNA from 1 species